rnacentral:rRNA from 1 species
UACGUAGGGGGCUAGCGUUAUCCGGAAUCAUUGGGCGUAAAGCGCGCGUAGGCGGCCCGGUAAGUCCGCUGUAAAAGUCAAAGGCUCAACCUUUGAAUGUCAGUGGAUACUGCCGGGCUAGAGUCCGGAAGAGGAGAAUGGAAUUCCUGGUGUAGCGGUGAAAUGCGCAGAUAUCAGGAGGAACACCGGUGGCGAAGGCGGGUCACUGGCCCGGUACUGACGCUGGAGGUGCGAAAGCGUGGGGAGCAAACAGG